rnacentral:rRNA from 1 species
GGAUGCACUUUGUGUAUUCUGUUCUCGAGCCUAAAAAGCUCGAGAAGUAAGGGCCGGGUAAGACGGGUGCCAGCCGCCGCGGUAAUACCCGCGGCCCGAGUGGUGCUCAUUAUUAUUGAGUCUAAAGCGUCCGUAGCCGGCCGGGUAAAUCUCUGGGUAAAUCGGGCGGCUCAACCGUCCGAAUUCCAGAGACACUGCCCGGCUUGGGAUCGGGAGAGGGUGAUGGUACUCCUUGGGUAGGGGUAAAAUCCUGUAAUCCGAGGGGGACCACCAGUGGCGAAGGCGAUCACCUAGAACGAAUCCGACGGUGAGGGACGAAGCCCUAGGGCGCAAACGGGAUUAGAUACCCCGGUAGUCUAGGGUGUAAACGCUGCAGACUUGGUGUUGGGGGUCCCGCGUGGGCUCCCAGUGCCGGAGCGAAGGUGUUAAGUCUGCCACUUGGGGAGUACGGCCGCAAGGCUGAAACUUAAAGGAAUUGGCGGGGGAGCACCGCAACGGGAGUAGCGUGCGGUUCAAUUGGAUUCAACGCCGGAAAACUCACCGGGGGCGACGGAAGUAUGAAGGCCAGGCUGAAGACCUUGCUCGAUCUUCCGAGAGGUGGUGCAUGGCCGUCGUCAGUUCGUACCGUAAGGCGUUCUGUUAAGUCAGAUAACGAACGAGACCCUCGCCUUCAGUCGCAACUCCGCGGGAGACCGCGGGGGCACACUGGAGGGAUUGCCGUCGCUAAGAUGGAGGAAGGAGAGGUCAACGGUAGGUCCGUAUGCCCCGAAUCUCCCGGGCAACACGCGCGCUACAAAGGCUGGGACGAAUGGGAUCCGACCCCGAGAGGGGGAGGUAAUCCUGAAACCCAGUCGUGGUCUGGACUGAGGGCUGUAACUCGCCCUCACGAAAAUGGAUUCCGUAGUAAUCGCGGGUCAACAUCCCGCGGUGAAUAUGCCCCUGCUCCUUGCACACACCGCCUGUCAAGUCAUCCGAGUUGGGCCUGAGUGAGGGUGACCCUACCUUGGGUCGCUCGAACUUAAGUUCAGCAAGGGGGACUAAGUCAUAACAAGGUAUCUGUAGGGGAACCUGCAGAUGGAUCACCUCCU